rnacentral:rRNA from 1 species
UACGUAGGGUGCAAGCGUUGUCCGGAAUUAUUGGGCGUAAAGGGCUCGUAGGCGGUCCGUCGCGUCGGGAGUGAAAACUCGGGGCUCAACCCCGAGCCUGCUUCUGAUACGGGCAGACUAGAGGUAUGCAGGGGAGAACGGAAUUCCUGGUGUAGCGGUGAAAUGCGCAGAUAUCAGGAGGAACACCGGUGGCGAAGGCGGUUCUCUGGGCAUUACCUGACGCUGAGGAGCGAAAGUGUGGGGAGCGAACAGG